GAGAGUUUGAUCCUGGCUCAGAUUGAACGCUAGCGGGAUGCUUUACACAUGCAAGUCGAACGGCAGCGCGAGAGAGCUUGCUCUCUUGGCGGCGAGUGGCGGACGGGUGAGUAAUAUAUCGGAACGUGCCCAGUAGCGGGGGAUAACUACUCGAAAGAGUGGCUAAUACCGCAUACGCCCUACGGGGGAAAGGGGGGGAUCGCAAGACCUCUCACUAUUGGAGCGGCCGAUAUCGGAUUAGCUAGUUGGUGGGGUAAAGGCUCACCAAGGCAACGAUCCGUAGCUGGUUUGAGAGGACGACCAGCCACACUGGGACUGAGACACGGCCCAGACUCCUACGGGAGGCAGCAGUGGGGAAUUUUGGACAAUGGGGGAAACCCUGAUCCAGCCAUCCCGCGUGUAUGAUGAAGGCCUUCGGGUUGUAAAGUACUUUUGGCAGAGAAGAAAAGGUAUCCCCUAAUACGGGAUACUGCUGACGGUAUCUGCAGAAUAAGCACCGGCUAACUACGUGCCAGCAGCCGCGGUAAUACGUAGGGUGCAAGCGUUAAUCGGAAUUACUGGGCGUAAAGCGUGUGUAGGCGGUUCGGAAAGAAAGAUGUGAAAUCCCAGGGCUCAACCUUGGAACUGCAUUUUUAACUGCCGAGCUAGAGUAUGUCAGAGGGGGGUAGAAUUCCACGUGUAGCAGUGAAAUGCGUAGAUAUGUGGAGGAAUACCGAUGGCGAAGGCAGCCCCCUGGGAUAAUACUGACGCUCAGACACGAAAGCGUGGGGAGCAAACAGGAUUAGAUACCCUGGUAGUCCACGCCCUAAACGAUGUCAACUAGCUGUUGGGGCCGUUAGGCCUUAGUAGCGCAGCUAACGCGUGAAGUUGACCGCCUGGGGAGUACGGUCGCAAGAUUAAAACUCAAAGGAAUUGACGGGGACCCGCACAAGCGGUGGAUGAUGUGGAUUAAUUCGAUGCAACGCGAAAACCUUACCUACCCUUGACAUGUCUGGAAAGCCGAAGAGAUUUGGCCGUGCUCGCAAGAGAACCGGAACACAGGUGCUGCAUGGCUGUCGUCAGCUCGUGUCGUGAGAUGUUGGGUUAAGUCCCGCAACGAGCGCAACCCUUGUCAUUAGUUGCUACGCAAGAGCACUCUAAUGAGACUGCCGGUGACAAACCGGAGGAAGGUGGGGAUGACGUCAAGUCCUCAUGGCCCUUAUGGGUAGGGCUUCACACGUCAUACAGUGGUCGGGACAGAGGGUCGCCAACCCGCGAGGGGGAGCCAAUCUCAGAAACCCGAUCGUAGUCCGGAUCGCAGUCUGCAACUCGACUGCGUGAAGUCGGAAUCGCUAGUAAUCGCGGAUCAGAAUGUCGCGGUGAAUACGUUCCCGGGUCUUGUACACACCGCCCGUCACACCAUGGGAGUGGGUUUCACCAGAAGUAGGUAGCCUAACCGCAAGGAGGGCGCUUACCACGGUGGGAUUCAUGACUGGGGUGAAGUCGUAACAAGGUAGCCGUAG
rnacentral:rRNA from 1 species